UCCUACGGGAGGCAGCAGUAGGGAAUAUUGCGCAAUGGGCGAAAGCCUGACGCAGCAACGCCGCGUGCGGGAUGAAGGCCUUCGGGUUGUAAACCGCUUUCAGCAGGGAAGAAGCGAAAGUGACGGUACCUGCAGAAGAAGCACCGGCUAACUACGUGCCAGCAGCCGCGGUAAU
rnacentral:rRNA from 1 species